rnacentral:rRNA from 1 species
AGCAGCCGCGGUAAUUCCAGCUCCAAUAGCGUAUAUUAAAGUUGUUGCAGUUAAAAAGCUCGUAGUUGAAUUUCGGGGUCAGUAGAUUGGUCAUGCCACUGGUAUGUACUGGUCUCACUGAUUCCUCCUUCCUGAUGAGCCGUAAUGCCAUUAAUUUGGUGUUGCGAGGAAUCUGGACUGUUACUUUGAAAAAUUAGAGUGUUUAAAGCAGGCUAACGCUUGAAUACAUUAGCAUGGAAUAAUGAAAUAGGACGUUCGAUCUUAUUUUGUUGGUUUCUAAGAUUGACGUAAUGAUUAAUAGGGAUAGUUGGGGGCAUUAGUAUUCAAUUGUCAGAGGUGAAAUUCUUGGAUUUAUUGAAGACUAACUACUGCGAAAGCAUUUGCCAAGGAUGUUUUCAUUAAUCAAGAACGAAAGUUAGGGGAUCGAAGACGAUCAGAUACCGUCGUAGUCUUAACCAUAAACUAUGCCGACUAGGGAUCGGAUGAUGUAAUUUUUAAUGACU